GCAAAGCAAACUUAAAAUAAUUUAGGAUAUUUGGAAAGAGCAUGUUUUAGAUAGUUUACUUCGAAAUCGUCAUGUGAAUUUUAAAAUUCCGUUUGCCGUCACAGUUUUGGUAGACACAAACUGUUAAAAACGGCUGUCAGUACACCACUCGAAAUUGGACAGAUAAAGUAUCUGCAACAUUUGAUUCGUCUCCUACUACGACAGGAUGUAAAAACAACUUAAAAAUCUGCAAACCAAGGUAAUCCUAGUACAUAGUAUACAUUGUAGCAGUUUUUAGCGGCCAUUUUGGAUAAUUUUUUGAUGCAGCUACCACGACAAUAAAAUUUGGGCAUUCUAGUUAGAUAAAAUCUGUUUACACAAUAAAAUUUAUAAAUUUCCAAAAAAUACUUUUAAUCAUUAUUAAUAUUCAUCAUAAAACGUAUUUAUGUAGCUUUGUAUAUAUCUAUAUUAAUUUAUAGCAACAUAUCCAAAGCUGAUGUAAUACGAAGUUCUAUAAGACUUAAAUACGUUUUUAUAAAAAAAAGUAUUAAUUUUCAUACAAGUUUGAAUAAAGUAAAUCAAAUUACAUGACUAUAUCAGGUGUAUUUGUCACUAAGGCUGGUUUACACCAUAGCUAUUGAAAUAUGUAGCUGUGUAAUGUAUUGAAAUAUGACGUAAAAUACUUUUCCAUAUCAAUAAAAUAUAUCCUUCGCUCGCAUGCUUUGCGGUUUGUGUAAACCGGCCCUAAGUAGGUGGAAAAAAUGCGCAACUGCUGUUUAGUAACAUAUGGUUUUAACUCAAACAAAUUUAAGCUUAGAUUUAAUAUUUAGCAGAGUCUGUAUAUAUAUGUUUAUAUACCGACUCUGGUUUUUAGAUCUUAACUUAAAUAUUGGUCAACAAAGCACCAUACAUACCCCACCUACAAACAACAUAUAUCGCAUCUAAUUAUUUUCACGAAAAAAUAUUUAUUACGAUCUGCAACAGAAAUGUUGAAUUUCAAGAAUUCAGAGAAAUGAAAUGACAAAUUAGUUGUAAUGUAAAUCUAGUAUGAAUCAUGGACACCAAGUUUUGAGAUCAAAAUAAGAAAAAGAUUGCACAUAAAAUAAGUUUCAAUACAAAGUAGCGUUAACACCUUUCCAAAUUGGAAUAUCUUAAUUUUUCAA